rnacentral:rRNA from 1 species
GCGCAGCAGGCGCGAAACCUCCGCAAUGCGGGAAACCGCGACGGGGGGACCCCGAGUGCCGUGGCAACGCCACGGCUUUUCCGGAGUGUAAAAAGCUCCGGGAAUAAGGGCUGGGCAAGGCCGGUGGCAGCCGCCGCGGUAAUACCGGCGGCCCGAGUGGUGGCCGCUAUUAUUGGGCCUAAAGCGUCCGUAGCCGGGCCCGUAAGUCCCUGGCGAAAUCCCACGGCUCAACCGUGGGGCUUGCUGGGGAUACUGCGGGUCUUGGGACCGGGAGAGGCGGGGGGUACCCCUGGGGUAGGGGUGAAAUCCUAUAAUCCCAGGGGGACCGCCAGUGGCGAAGGCGCCCCGCUGGAACGGGUCCGACGGUGAGGGACGAAGGCCA